rnacentral:rRNA from 1 species
UACGAAGGGGGCGAGCGUUGUUCGGAAUUACUGGGCGUAAAGGGCGCGUAGGCGGCCCUCUUUGUCGCGUGUGAAAGCCCCGGGCUCAACCUGUGAACGGCGCGCGAAACGGGGGGGCUGGAGUUCGGGAGAGGAGCGUGGAAUUCCCAGUGUAGAGGUGAAAUUCGUAGAUAUUGGGAAGAACACCGGUGGCGAAGGCGGCGCUCUGGACCGAGACUGACGCUGAGGCGCGAAAGCGUGGGGAGCAAACAGG